GUAAACGAGAAGAUAGACUAAUAUGAGAAUGUGAUAAUAU
rnacentral:guide_RNA from 1 species